GACGAGCGCUGGCGGCGUGCUUAGCACAUGCAAGUCGAACGAUGAAGCUGGAGCUUGCUCUGGUGGAUUAGUGGCGAACGGGUGAGUAACACGUGAGUAACCUGCCCUGGACUCUGGGAUAACCCCGAGAAAUCGGAGCUAAUACCGGAUAGGACCUCGGAUCGCAUGAUCUGGGGUGGAAAGUUUUUCGGUCUGGGAUGGACUCGCGGCCUAUCAGCUUGUUGGUGAGGUAAUGGCUCACCAAGGCGUCGACGGGUAGCCGGCCUGAGAGGGUGACCGGCCACACUGGGACUGAGACACGGCCAAGACUCCUACGGGAGGCAGCAGUGGGGAAUAUUGCACAAUGGGCGCAAGCCUGAUGCAGCAACGCCGCGUGCGGGAUGACGGCCUUCGGGUUGUAAACCGCUUUUAGUAAGGAAGAAGCCGCAAGGUGACGGUACUUGCAGAAAAAGGACCGGCUAACUACGUGCCAGCAGCCGCCGUAAAAC
rnacentral:rRNA from 1 species